rnacentral:rRNA from 1 species
CCCUUAGAUGUUCUGGGCCGCACGCGCGCUACACUGAUGAAUUCAACGAGCACUAACCUGUGCCGAAAGGUUCGGGUAAUCUUGUGAAAUUUCAUCGUGAUGGGGAUUGAUUAUUGCAAUUUUUAAUCAUAAACGAGGAAUGCCUAGUAAGCGUGAGUCAUCAGCUCACGUUGAUUACGUCCCUGCCCUUUGUACACACCGCCCGUCGCUCCUACCGAUUGAGUGCUCCGGUGAACAAUUUGGACUGCUUUGAUUCGAUUAGAAUUUGAAGCGGAAAGUUUAGUGAACCUUAUCACUUAGAGGAAGGAGAAGUCGUAACA